rnacentral:lncRNA from 1 species
AAGGAAACCCCCCAGGUGGUGAGGUUGGAGGAACACCAUCUCCAGGGGAAGCUCCAUCAGAAAGUCUGGGACUGCAAGAGCUGUCUGUCACCUUGUUCAUCUUGUGCCUGGUGAAAUGCUACAUUCACCUUUCCACAGCUAGCAGGAUGUGACCUUUGCAAAGGAGAAGAGGUGGGAAGAAAAGGUUUGAACCAUUCAGUGGCCAUAACCAACUGUGGAAUGCCAUAAAUGGAGCAAUAUAACGACUGGAGCUACCCAGCAUCCUUCAGAUUAACAGCUGGCUCUCCAAGGCUCCUUUGCAAAAGCAAUGCAGUCCUUCACACAGCAGCCUCUUUGGGCUAAGAUGAGCAAAGAUCUUUGAUGCU